rnacentral:rRNA from 1 species
AUUGAACGCUGGCGGCAGGCUUAACACAUGCAAGUCGAGCGGAGAUGAGGUGCUUGCACCUUAUCUUAGCGGCGGACGGGUGAGUAAUGCUUAGGAAUCUGCCUAUUAGUGGGGGACAACAUUCCGAAAGGAAUGCUAAUACCGCAUACGCCCUACGGGGGAAAGCAGGGGAUCUUCGGACCUUGCGCUAAUAGAUGAGCCUAAGUCGGAUUAGCUAGUUGGUGGGGUAAAGGCCUACCAAGGCGACGAUCUGUAGCGGGUCUGAGAGGAUGAUCCGCCACACUGGGACUGAGACACGGCCCAGAAUCCUACGGGAGGCAGCGGUGGGGAAUAUUGGACAAUGGGCGGAAGCCUGAUCCAGCCAUGCCGCGUGUGUGAAGAAGGCCUUUUGGUUGUAAAGCACUUUAAGCGAGGAGGAGGCUACCUGGAUUAAUACUCUAGGAUAGUGGACGUUACUCGCAGAAUAAGCACCGGCUAACUCUGUGCCAGCCGCCGCAGUAAUAC